AUUGAACGCUGGCGGCAGGCCUAACACAUGCAAGUCGAGCGCGCGGCGGACGGGUGAGUAAUGUAUGGGGCAUGCCCGAUAGAGGGGGGUAACUACUGGAAAAGGUAGCUAAUACCGCAUACUAUCGGAUAACCCAUAUGGGAGUAGCUAGUAGGUGAGGUAAUGGCUCACCUAGGCGCCGCUCCCUAGCUGGUCUGAGAGGAUGAUCAGCCACACUGGGACGGAGACACGGCCCAGACUCCUACGGAGGCAGCAGUGGGGGAUAUUGCACAAGGGGCGAAAGCCUGAUGCAGCGACGCCGCGUGGGGGAUGAAGGCUUUCGGGUUGUAAACCUCUUUCGCUAUCGAACGGGUAGGUGGAGAAGAAGCGCCGGCUAACUACGUGCCAGCAGCCGCGGUAAUAC
rnacentral:rRNA from 1 species